rnacentral:rRNA from 1 species
UAACACAUGCNAGUCGAGCGGAUGACGGGAGCUUGCUCCUUGAUUCAGCGGCGGACGGGUGAGUAAUGCCUAGGAAUCUGCCUGGUAGUGGGGGACAACGUUUCGAAAGGAACGCUAAUACCGCAUACGUCCUACGGGAGAAAGCAGGGGACCUUCGGGCCUUGCGCUAUCAGAUGAGCCUAGGUCGGAUUAGCUAGUUGGUGGGGUAAUGGCUCACCAAGGCGACGAUCCGUAACUGGUCUGAGAGGAUGAUCAGUCACACUGGAACUGAAGACACGGUCCAGACUCCUACGGGAGGCAGCAGUGGGGAAUAUUGGACAAUGGGCGAAAGCCUGAUCCAGCCAUGCCGCGUGUGUGAAGAAGGUCUUCGGAUUGUAAAGCACUUUAAGUUGG